rnacentral:rRNA from 1 species
AGGGGUAACAUAGUUUGCUUGCAAACUGAUGACGACCGGCGCACGGGUGCGGAACGCGUAUGGAACCUGCCCCUGUCAGGGGAAUAGCCCAGAGAAAUUUGGAUUAAUGCCCCAUGGUAACGUUAUAUCGCAUGAUAUGAUGUUUAAAGAUUUAUCGGACAGGGAUGGCCAUGCGUACCAUUAGUCAGAUGGUGAGGUAACGGCUCACCAUAACUACGAUGGUUAGGGGCCCUGAGAGGGGGAUCCCCCACACUGGUACUGAGACACGGACCAGACUCCUACGGGAGGCAGCAGUGAGGAAUAUUGGACAAUGGGCGGGAGCCUGAUCCAGCCAUGCCGCGUGCAGGAUGACUGCCCUAUGGGUUGUAAACUGCUUUUAUACGGGAAGAAACCCAUCUACGUGUAGAUGGCUGACGGUACCGUAAGAAUAAGGACCGGCUAACUCCGUGCCAGCAGCCGCGGUAAUACGGAGGGUCCGAGCGUUAUCCGGAAUCAUUGGGUUUAAAGGGUCCGUAGGUGGGCCAUUAAGUCAGGGGUGAAAGUCUGCGGCUCAACCGUAGAAUUGCCUUUGAUACUGGUGGUCUUGAGUCGUUGUGGGGUUGCCGGAACAUGUGGUGUAGCGGUGAAAUGCAUAGAUAUCACAUAGAACACCGAUCGCGAAGGCAGGUGACCAACAACGUACUGACACUGAUGGACGAAAGCGUGGGUAGCGAACGGGAUUAGAUACCCCGGUAGUCCACGCCGUAAACGAUGGAUACUAGCUGUCGGGACUUCGGUCUCGGCGGCCAAGCGAAAGUGAUAAGUAUCCCACCUGGGGAGUACGUUCGCAAG